rnacentral:rRNA from 1 species
GGGUUGUGAGGUUAAGCGACUAAGCGUACACGGUGGAUGCCCUGGCAGUCAGAGGCGAUGAAGGGCGUGCUAAUCUGCGAUAAGCGCCGGUAAGGUGAUAUGAACCGUUAUAACCGGCGAUACCCGAAUGGGGAAACCCAGUGUGAUUCGUCACACUAUCAUUACGUGAAUACAUAGCGUAAUGAAGCGAACCGGGGGAACUGAAACAUCUAAGUACCCCGAGGAAAAGAAAUCAACCGAGAUUCCCCCAGUAGCGGCGAGCGAACGGGGAGGAGCCCAGAGCCUGAAUCAGCAUGUGUGUUAGUGGAAGCGUCUGGAAAGGCGCGCGAUACAGGGUGACAGCCCCGUACACAAAAGCGCAUGUGUUGUGAGCUCGAUGAGUAGGGCGGGACACGUGGUAUCCUGUCUGAAUAUGGGGGGACCAUCCUCCAAGGCUAAAUACUCCUGACUGACCGAUAGUGAACCAGUACCGUGAGGGAAAGGCGAAAAGAACCCCGGCGAGGGGAGUGAAAAAGAACCUGAAACCGUGUACGUACAAGCAGUGGGAGCAC